rnacentral:rRNA from 1 species
UACAGAGGUCUCAAGCGUUGUUCGGAUUCAUUGGGCGUAAAGGGUGCGUAGGCGGCGCGGUAAGUCGGGUGUGAAAUCUCGGGGCUUAACUCCGAAACUGCAUUCGAUACUGCCGUGCUUUGAGGACUGGAGAGGAGACUGGAAUUUACGGUGUAGCGGUGAAAUGCGUAGAUAUCGUAAGGAAGACCAGUGGCGAAGGCGGGUCUCUGGACAGUUCCUGACACUGAGACACGAAGGCCAGGGGAGCAAACGGG